rnacentral:misc_RNA from 1 species
CGAGCAUAUUAGUUGCUAAUUUUACCGUUUGGUGGCGCUUUUUCUUGCACACCGCUGAUAUACUAGUCUGCAUUUUUGGCAGCUGACGCCCAGUGUAAGAUCCAAACCUCGAUCCGAACGGUCAUCCGAAAAUUAGCGAACGAGCAAGAGGACGAUAGAAGUAGUAGCUAAGCUACAUUGUGGCAUCGAUUAUAACGAGAAUAACAUAGGAAUUUGACAGUAUGGAUGCAAGAUUUAAAAGCAAUCUCGCCAUGAUUGGCCGCAAUGAGCCAAUUACGCGAAAAGCUAGAUUCUGGCAAAGUUACGUUCGUGCUUUGAAGGGUACUGAUGACAUGCGCGCUCCUGAGCAUACCCGCAGGCCCAGAAGUAUAUUCAGCACCUUCCCGGAUCUCCAUUCCUCUUCGUGGCCUUACGGAAAAUCCAUUUUUGACAACCCUGUCCAUGCUUCCGAUCGCAUCAAUGUUCCUGGUUACAGGUAUUUACCCGUCCAUCGGGAAAUCUAUGGCUACUCACCAAGACAAUUGUACCCUCAUCAGUACAAACCCGUCGAGCGCUUCGUCUCCGCGAAACCAUUCGACGCUGACAAAGCCUGGAAUGAUCAUUUGGACCGAUUGGCUGACAUCGAUAGAUUGUAUCCAUCAUCAUCGCCCCUUUUAUCUCGUCACAAGUCACCCGCACUUUCUACAAAACCGCUGUUUGAUAUACACGGAAAGCUGUUGGACGACCCACUCACCACGUACCCUUCAAUGCUAGGAAGGAAAGCUUUCUAUGAUCUUCUGGAACCUUCACCGUCCAAGCCUAUCAGCGCCUUCACCAGAGAUCCGUGGUGGUAUCCGUGCUAUGCACCGUAUAUUCCUAACUACGCUCAAUGGAGCAUCCCCUUCUAUCUGAGAGACAGCUACCUCAGUCCUGUAAAACGUAAUUACUUGUGGAGCCGACACCCCCUCAGGCCCUUUGACAAGAUCGAUGCACUUCUUGUGUCUAUUUUGUAAAGCUGACGAGAAUAAACGGAAAUACAGGAUUUAAAACGCGGGAAAAAUUACUAUUACUAUUCUCAGCCCGUUCCACGCUAUCACUUUACCAGCCCAUGGUACAAUUAUUGAGAGCGAAACUUACGCCCAUUAGAUGAAUAACACGCAUCCCCUUUUCAUGGAAGUAAGACGUCAAAAAAAUAAUAAUAAUAAACAAAACGAAAGAAAAUUGCGAAAAGAAAAAAUUUUUUAAUAAU